GCUUUCCUCUUGGUUCUCUUGGCUACUAGCUACUAUUUAUAUGUUAUCGGGGAAACUUCAUUUAAGGUCAUUUCGUGCAGCCAUUACCAGAAGAAGUUCGUGCAGAGGAAACAAAUAUGCUCCAUAAGAGUCAGCCCACUGUGCGCUUCCAAUAAUGUUACAUAUCCUAAUUCCUGCGUGUACUGUUUCGC